UCACAAAAUUAAUUCCCAGCCCAAUCAAUGUUUUUUGUAGCAACCCAGUUCCCCCAUGACCCCUAACCCAUCAAAACUCCAGCCUUUUUGUUCCUAAUACUCGAUCCAUUUUUUCCUUCCCCAAAAGAAUUCAGUCUUUCCUGAUGUACGCAACAUUUCCCCACGCCUUGCUCUAUCCGUUUUCCUCACGGCGUGGGGAGAAACAAUGGUCCCCAAAAAGUGUGCCACCAGCAGCAAAUGCGACGACAACGGUUCCAGCAGCAGGCGCGUGAACAAUGUACCCAUCUCUUCUACUUCGAUGUCUUUCCAAACUCGAUACUUUCUCCUUUCUGCGCUUGUACGAGCCCAACAGCAGCUCCAGGCACGCGAGAGUCGUCUUUGGGACGACGAGAUUGAGCCAUGUCACCAUUCCAAGGGUGAUGAAACCAUCUAUACCCUUUCGCCCCAUCUAGAAUAGAGCCACAAGCCUCAGAAAAAGUUGUUGAUCCCAAAUUUGUGGAAGGGACAAGUUUUCAAAUUUUGAAAUAACCCUUGGUUUUGGUCGAUUCUGCCCUCACCUCUUCCUUUAAGAAAACCCUAAUCGUCCUCUAUGUAUCUCUUUCCUAUUCACUGUUUGAGGGGAGUUAGGGGGGGGGGGUUAUUUUUUAGGUAGAGUAUUUUUUUUUUUGAGUUUAAAAAAAGGGCGAGCAAUUUUUUUCUUUGGAAUUCAACUCCUUUAAGUUGGUUUACAACUAGCAGGAGGACACUGAGACAGACGGAACUUGGGAAAAGGAGUUUGAUUUUUCUAGUUGAAUUUUUUUUUGGGAAAUUCCUUGAUCAGGAACGUCAAGGGCAGCUUAUAGAAACAUGAUAAGACAUUCGAAACAGAGUUAUGUUCUAGUUUUCUAGUUGCGUCGUGUCCUCUCAAACCCCGUUUGAAGUCGAGCUUUGUGGUCGGAAGAUUGUGUUUGUUCAGCUCGCUCUAUCUCCAGCUCGCGGCACUCAAAAAAGCCCUCCCGAAUCUCUGGAGACUCUUCCCCUCAUAUUUUGGAAAAAUCAAAGACUUAUACUUCCAUCCAUCGAGUCAAUCCACGUAUUCAACGCACAGGUCCCGAAGCGGAAGAAGUUGAAGAGAUUGGGCCUCAAAGAACCAAAGUCAGUUGAAAGAUUGUAUUUCGGGCAUAAGCCCUUGUCGUCUUAUUUUAUUUUAUUUUAUUUAUUUAUUGAUUAUUGUAAGAUUAGUUUAGAAUAGGUACAAACACAAAUUGGUCAAAAAAUCCAAAAAAAGUUGGUCUAAAUAUCGGUCUAGGAGAACAUAUAACCCGGAUUUUGACUCAACUCUCUCUCUC